rnacentral:rRNA from 1 species
GGGGAUAGCCUUUGGAAACGAAGAAUAAUACCCUAUAAAACCAUAAAAGCACAUGCUAGAAUGGUCAAAGUGAUAGCGGUGUAAGAUGGACUUGCGUCUGAUUAGCUAGUUGGUGAGAUAAAAGCUCACCAAGGCAACGAUCAGUAGCCGGCUUGAGAGAGUGUACGGCCACAUUGGGACUGAGACACGGCCCAG